GAAUUGCCGAAUCUCAGCAUCUGUCGGCCGCAUUCUCGGAGGUGUCCCUGCGAUACCGACAAAGGUGUUAAUUAAAGAACCGGACUAAGGGCCGGAUGAAAAGGAGACCGGGAGAUCGGGCGAUACCUAGUCGGGGGACCAAGCUUAAGCCGGCGUCAUAGAGAGCUUGUUCGGUAACAAGCUCCCUCUGCUUCGGGACC
rnacentral:lncRNA from 1 species